UAAUGAUAUUUCUGCUUCAGCAACUCAGCUCUGAAUCUGUCUGAAAUGUAAUGGAAAGUAGCCAAUGUUGCAUUAGGGCACCGUUGCUUUGCCAUCAGAAGGAAGUCCUCAGACAGAAGCUUGAUCGGACAACCCACAACUUCAUGAAGGAAGUAAAAACAUUCCUGCUGGCUUGGAUGCACCGUGUUAUACCCCUCCCGAGGCAAUCCGAAAACUUAAUGCGUGGAUGCCCAUCAACGUCUACCCCUGACUGUCUUCGUGUCCAAACGUUUUUAUCCCACACAAAGUAGGAUGGCAGUUGCGGAUAAAUAAGAUACUUUGCAAAUGUAUCAGUUUGACACAACUUAAAAAAAAACUGUAACGAUUGUUUCCUUUGACCGGGUAGCCAAUUGAGCAGAAUUGUGCUCAGAAAAGUAUACACGCUGA